AAAAAAGGUAAGCUACUAAGAGCGAAUGGUGGAUGCCUUGACUGGUAAAGGCGAUGAAGGACGUACUAGACUGCGAUAAGCUACGGGGAGCUGUCAAGAAGCUUUGAUCCGUAGAUUUCCGAAUGGGGCAACCCAAUGUAUAGAGAUAUACAUUACCUAUAUAGGAGCGAACGAGGGGAAUUGAAACAUCUUAGUACCCUCAGGAAAAGAAAUCAAUAGAGAUUGCGUCAGUAGCGGCGAGCGAAAGCGCAAGAGGGCAAACCCAGUGCUUGCACUGGGGGUUGUAGGACUGCAAUGUGCAAGAGCUGAGUUUAGCAGAACAUUCUGGAAAGUAUAACCAUAGAGGGUGAUAGUCCCGUAUGCGAAAAACAAAGCUUAGCUAGCAGUAUCCUGAGUAGGGCGGGACACGAGAAAUCCUGUCUGAAUCCGGGUCGACCACGAUCCAACCCUAAAUACUAAUACCAGAUCGAUAGUGCACAAGUACCGUGAGGGAAAGGUGAAAAGAACUGAGGUGAUCAGAGUGAAAUAGAACCUGAAACCAUUUGCUUACAAUCAUUCAGAGCACUAUGUAGCAAUACAGUGUGAUGGACUGCCUUUUGCAUAAUGAGCCUGCGAGUUGUGGUGUCUGGCAAGGUUAAGCAAACGCGAAGCCGUAGCGAAAGCGAGUCUGAAUAGGGCGCUUAGUCAGAUGCUGCAGACCCGAAACGAAGUGAUCUAUCCAUGAGCAAGUUGAAGCUAGUGUAAGAACUAGUGGAGGACUGAACCCAUAGGCGUUGAAAAGCCCCGGGAUGACUUGUGGAUAGGGGUGAAAGGCCAAUCAAACUUCGUGAUAGCUGGUUCUCUCCGAAAUAUAUUUAGGUAUAGCGUUGUGUCGUAAUAUAAGGGGGUAGAGCACUGAAUGGGCUAGGGCAUACACCAAUGUACCAAACCCUAUCAAACUCCGAAUACCUUAUAUGUAAUCACAGCAGUCAGGCGGCGAGUGAUAAAAUCCGUCGUCAAGAGGGAAACAACCCAGACUACCAGCUAAGGUCCCUAAGUCUUACUUAAGUGGAAAACGAUGUGAAGUUACUUAAACAACCAGGAGGUUGGCUUAGAAGCAGCCAUCCUUUAAAGAAAGCGUAAUAGCUCACUGGUCUAGUGAUUUUGCGCGGAAAAUAUAACGGGGCUAAAGU
rnacentral:rRNA from 1 species